UACGUAGGGUGCAAGCGUUAUCCGGAAUUAUUGGGCGUAAAGAGCGUGUAGGCGGCCCGGUAAGUCCGCUGUGAAAGUCGGGGGCUCAACCCUCGAAUGCCGGUGGAUACUGUCGGGCUAGAGUGCGGAAGAGGCGAGUGGAAUUCCUGGUGUAGCGGUGAAAUGCGUAGAUAUCAGGAGGAACACCGGUGGCGAAGGCGGCUUCCUGGACAAUAACUGACGCUGAGGCGCGAAAGCUAGGGGAGCAAACAGG
rnacentral:rRNA from 1 species